AUUGUCUGGCAACGAAAGUUAAUCAGAUAUAUGAGUCGCAUAUUUCUGAAAAAAACGUCAUGAUUUGAAUGAUCGCUCCUUACAAGUACGGAUUACAGCUCUUGCAGACACGCAUCUUUGACAAAACCUGACAAAACUCGGAGUCUCGUCUUUUCAGGAAUGAACACCUGGCUGGUUUUUGGGCUUUGGUAUUGUAGCUGUAUUUCUUGACAGCUUGCUUGACAGAGCCAAGUACCCAGGUUGUGCUGCUGUCUUCAAACCAAUAGUCUACAUCUUUUGUUUCUGAACUGGUCCAGCUACUAAAAAGAAAACCUGCAGCCCAUUGCUUUCAAACUCCAUCAAAGUACAAUGGAAACACUUUCACAUUAUUUGAGGAUUUCACCAACA